UGGAUCAGAAUUAGUACGCUGGCUUC
rnacentral:piRNA from 1 species